rnacentral:rRNA from 1 species
AGUCCAACGUGAAAGGGGAGCAAUCCCCCGGUAGGGUGGCAAACGGGUGAGUAAGACAUGGGUGAUCUACCUUAGGGAUGGGGAUAUCCUUCCGAAAGGAGGGGCAAUACCGAAUAUUGUCCGGGACCAUGAAGGGUUCCGGGGAAAGGGAGGCCUCUGAUACAAGCUUUCGCCUUAAGAUGAGCCCAUGGCCCAUCAGCUAGUUGGUAGGGUAAAGGCCUACCAAGGCUACGACGGGUCGCUGGUCUGAGAGGACGACCAGCCACACUGGCACUGAGAUACGGGCCAGACUCCUACGGGAGGCAGCAGUGAGGAAUAUUGCGCAAUGGGGGAAACCCUGACGCAGCAACGCCGCGUGUGGGAAGAAGGCCUUCGGGUCGUAAACCACUUUUACUCGGGACGAAAAAGGGAUAUCAAAUAAAUAUCCCCGAUGACGGUACCGUGAGAAUAAGCCACGGCUAACUCUGUGCCAGCAGCCGCGGUAAGACAGAGGUGGCAAGCGUUGUUCGGAAUUACUGGGCGUAAAGAGUCUGUAGGUGGUUUGUCAAGUCUUUGGUGAAAGGCCGUAGCUUAACUAUGGGAAUGCCAAAGAGACUGGCAGGCUGGAGGCUGGGAGAGGGAAGCGGAAUUUCUGGUGUAGCGGUGAAAUGCGUAGAUAUCAGAAGGAAGGCCGGUGGCGAAGGCGGCUUCCUGG